rnacentral:rRNA from 1 species
UACGUAGGGCGCAAGCGUUGUCCGGAAUUAUUGGGCGUAAAGAGCUCGUAGGCGGUUUGUCGCGUCUGCUGUGAAAACCUAAGGCUCAACCUUGGGCUUGCAGUGGGUACGGGCAGACUAGAGUGCGGUAGGGGGUGACUGGAAUUCCUGGUGUAGCGGUGGAAUGCGCAGAUAUCAGGAGGAACACCGAUGGCGAAGGCAGCUCGCUGGGACGGUACUGACGCUGGAGGCGCGGAAAAGCGUGGGGGAGCCAAAACAGG